rnacentral:rRNA from 1 species
UACGUAGGGUGCAAGCGUUAAUCGGAAUUACUGGGCGUAAAGCGUGCGCAGGCGGUUGUGCAAGACAGAUGUGAAAUCCCCGGGCUCAACCUGGGAACUGCAUUUGUGACUGCACAGCUUGAGUGCGGCAGAGGGGGAUGGAAUUCCGGGUGUAGCGGUGAAAUGCGUAGAUAUCCGGAGGAACACCGGUGGCGAAGGCGGCUUCCUGGACCGACACUGACGCUGAGGCGCGAAAGCUAGGGGAGCAAACGGG